rnacentral:rRNA from 1 species
GGGUUGUGAGGUUAAGCGACUAAGCGUACACGGUGGAUGCCCUGGCAGUCAGAGGCGAUGAAGGACGUGCUAAUCUGCGAUAAGCGUCGGUGAGGUGAUAUGAACCGUUAUAACCGGCGAUUUCCGAAUGGGGAAACCCAGUGUGWUUCGWCACACUAUCAUUAACUGAAUCCAUAGGUUAAUGAGGCGAACCGGGGGAACUGAAACAUCUAAGUACCCCGAGGAAAAGAAAUCAACCGAGAUUCCCCCAGUAGCGGCGAGCGAACGGGGAGGAGCCCAGAGCCUGAAUCAGUGUGUGUGUUAGUGGAAGCGUCUGGAAAGGCGCGCGAUACAGGGUGACAGCCCCGUACACAAAAAUGCACAUACUGUGAGCUCGAUGAGUAGGGCGGGACACGUGGUAUCCUGUCUGAAUAUGGGGGGACCAUCCUCCAAGGCUAAAUACUCCUGACUGACCGAUAGUGAACCAGUACCGUGAGGGAAAGGCGAAAAGAACCCCGGCGAGGGGAGUGAAAAAGAACCUGAAACCGUGUACGUACAAGCAGUGGGAGCCUCUUAAUGGGGUGACUGCGUACCUUUUGUAUAAUGGGUCAGCGACUUAUAUUCUGUAGCAAGGUUAACCGAAUAGGGGAGCCGAAGGGAAACCGAGUCUUAACUGGGCGUUAAGUUGCAGGGUAUAGACCCGAAACCCGGUGAUCUAGCCAUGGGCAGGUUGAAGGUUGGGUAACACUAACUGGAGGACCGAACCGACUAAUGUUGAAAAAUUAGCKGAUGACUUGUGGCUGGGGGUGAAAGGCCAAUCAAACCGGGAGAUAGCUGGUUCUCCCCGAAAGCUAUUUAGGUAGCGCCUCGUGAAUUCAUCUCCGGGGGUAGAGCACUGUUUCGGCAAGGGGGUCAUCCCGACUUACCAACCCGAUGCAAACUGCGAAUACCGGAGAAUGUUAUCACGGGAGACACACGGCGGGUGCUAACGUCCGUCGUGAAGAGGGAAACAACCCAGACCGCCAGCUAAGGUCCCAAAGUCAUGGUUAAGUGGGAAACGAUGUGGGAAGGCCCAGACAGCCAGGAUGUUGGCUUAGAAGCAGCCAUCAUUUAAAGAAAGCGUAAUAGCUCACUGGUCGAGUCGGCCUGCGCGGAAGAUGUAACGGGGCUAAACCAUGCACCGAAGCUGCGGCAGCGACACUAUGUGUUGUUGGGUAGGGGAGCGUUCUGUAAGCCUGUGAAGGUGKMCUGUGAGGKWUGCUGGAGGUAUCAGAAGUGCGAAUGCUGACAUAAGUAACGAUAAAGCGGGUGAAAAGCCCGCUCGCCGGAAGACCAAGGGUUCCUGUCCAACGUUAAUCGGGGCAGGGUGAGUCGACCCCUAAGGCGAGGCCGAAAGGCGUAGUCGAUGGGAAACAGGUUAAUAUUCCUGUACUUGGUGUUACUGCGAAGGGGGGACGGAGAAGGCUAUGUUGGCCGGGCGACGGUUGUCCCGGUUUAAGCGUGUAGGCUGGUUUUCCAGGCAAAUCCGGAAAAUCAAGGCUGAGGCGUGAUGACGAGGCACUACGGUGCUGAAGCGACAAAUGCCCUGCUUCCAGGAAAAGCCUCUAAGCAUCAGGUAACAUCAAAUCGUACCCCAAACCGACACAGGUGGUCAGGUAGAGAAUACCAAGGCGCUUGAGAGAACUCGGGUGAAGGAACUAGGCAAAAUGGUGCCGUAACUUCGGGAGAAGGCACGCUGAUAUGUAGGUGAAGCGACUUGCUCGUGGAGCUGAAAUCAGUCGAAGAUACCAGCUGGCUGCAACUGUUUAUUAAAAACACAGCACUGUGCAAACACGAAAGUGGACGUAUACGGUGUGACGCCUGCCCGGUGCCGGAAGGUUAAUUGAUGGGGUUAGCGGUAACGCGAAGCUCUUGAUCGAAGCCCCGGUAAACGGCGGCCGUAACUAUAACGGUCCUAAGGUAGCGAAAUUCCUUGUCGGGUAAGUUCCGACCUGCACGAAUGGCGUAAUGAUGGCCAGGCUGUCUCCACCCGAGACUCAGUGAAAUUGAACUCGCUGUGAAGAUGCAGUGUACCCGCGGCAAGACGGAAAGACCCCGUGAACCUUUACUAUAGCUUGACACUGAACAUUGAGCCUUGAUGUGUAGGAUAGGUGGGAGGCUUUGAAGUGUGGACGCCAGUCUGCAUGGAGCCGACCUUGAAAUACCACCCUUUAAUGUUUGAUGUUCUAACGUGGGCCCCUUACCGGGGUUGCGGACAGUGUCUGGUGGGUAGUUUGACUGGGGCGGUCUCCUCCUAAAGAGUAACGGAGGAGCACGAAGGUUGGCUAAUCCUGGUCGGACAUCAGGAGGUUAGUGCAAUGGCAUAAGCCAGCUUGACUGCGAGCGUGACGGCGCGAGCAGGUGCGAAAGCAGGUCAUAGUGAUCCGGUGGUUCUGAAUGGAAGGGCCAUCGCUCAACGGAUAAAAGGUACUCCGGGGAUAACAGGCUGAUACCGCCCAAGAGUUCAUAUCGACGGCGGUGUUUGGCACCUCGAUGUCGGCUCAUCACAUCCUGGGGCUGAAGUAGGUCCCAAGGGUAUGGCUGUUCGCCAUUUAAAGUGGUACGCGAGCUGGGUUUAGAACGUCGUGAGACAGUUCGGUCCCUAUCUGCCGUGGGCGCUGGAGAACUGAGGGGGGCUGCUCCUAGUACGAGAGGACCGGAGUGGACGCAUCACUGGUGUUCGGGUUGUCAUGCCAAUGGCACUGCCCGGUAGCUAAAUGCGGAAGAGAUAAGUGCUGAAAGCAUCUAAGCACGAAACUUGCCCCGAGAUGAGUUCUCCCUGACUCCUUGAGAGUCCUGAAGGAACGUUGAAGACGACGACGUUGAUAGGCCGGGUGUGUAAGCGCAGCGAUGCGUUGAGCUAACCGGUACUAAUGAACCGUGAGGCUUAACCUUACAACGCCGAAG